UUAUGUGCAUGUUGUGUUGAACGUAGGUAAGUGUGUUAUAGUAUGUUGUGUAUAUCAUGUUUGCUUGUAUUUAUGUACGUACAUCCAUACAUAUUAUUGUAUGUAUACGUUACAGUAUGUUUUACAUGAACGCUUCCAUGUGUGUGGAGGCACAUGGACAUCAUGAGCUUUGAAGCACCAUGUUAACCAGGCACGGAGCUGACAGUAAAAACGUGCUGCUGUGGUCUCUUUUUCAUUAUGGAGAUGUGCAAACAAGGUUCUGUGUGUAGUGUUGUCAGGCUAACAUGUAGGAUGUUCAGAGUGUGGUCUUCAAAGCAAGUCAUUGUGUCUGGAGUCUGAGAAAAGGACUUUUACUGAGGAAUCUGCAUACUGACUCAUAUGUUUGUGUUGAAAUGAAUGGACUCCAGUGAUGCCAAACUGAAAGAGAUCUCCAGCAGUAUUAUACAUGGGAAAUAACGGCAAUAUUGUGUGGCUCCAUGUUGUGAUGAUUAUUCUAAUUUCUGCAUCAGUUAAGUUCAAUAAAUCUUGACCCGCGGCA